rnacentral:lncRNA from 1 species
GAGCUUUGAUACCAAUUGUUGAGAAAUCAGACUCACACAAAUGUACUAAGAUAAAUACAAACACACUACUGAUAUAAAAUAAUUAUAACACCAGAAAUUUACGUCACGGGGAGAGAUCUCAGAAAUUCAUUAUGAAAAUAAUAUGGAGAUUACAAACUCUCUACUGAGAAAUAAACUAACUGUUUAUUUCUCUCUACACCCUCACUUUCUGAAUGCUCUAACUGAGCUUUUCACUCUCUAACUCUCUCUUUUGAUUUGCUAAGCUUGUUGUUGUAGUGUGUUGAAAUGAGGAGCCCAAGCUCCCUUUUAUAGGAGAAAUCUGGAGAGGAGAAUAAGAAAUGGGGAAGGCCAAAAUAAAAGGGCAGUGACUUUGGAAAAAAAUGAAGGCCAAAUUUAAUGGGUGAAGACUUUGACCAACAGGGUAUAAUUCCUGGACUUAUCCUGUAUUCACAUACUUGGCACCCAAAAAUAUUACAAGUACACCUUACGAAAAGCUCAUAACAACCCUAAUGUGGUGAUCAUUACGUACAUCUACUAUCUUAUCUGUGCAGGCAAAAUUAUGUAAAUCUAAAUAAUGCUUUAAAUGUUCUGCUGAUGAUGAAUCUAUACUGCGAUGAGUUUGGCUUUUUUCCAAAUGCUUGUGUCGAUGUACAGUUUAUCUGUUAGCCAUUGAUGCUUUAAAUUUUUUGCCUCUUUGUGUAGUUGAUUUGGUUAAAUUCCUAUGAUUUUUCUCUCCUAAGUUUUUGCAAAACUGUUUGUCUGAACUCAUUGUCUUGAUAUGGUAUGUUUAUGGAAUUGAGUGCUAUAGAUUGAAGAAGGAAUUAGUGAAAGGG